ACGCAUUUGACUCCCUCUCCGAGGACGCCGCAGCCCGCGGGGAAGUGCAAACGUGACGGCCUUGAAGGCGGGAGACGGCAGGUGGCCGGGUGSGGGGGCUCGUCCCUUUCGCCGGUUGUUAGCCUUCCCGUCGGUGGCUCGUCUCCCCGCGGAGGUAUCAUGACGUCCUUCGGGGCGUCUGCAUCUCCUCCUCGUUAGAAGUCUGGACGUGCAGUGGCGAGCGAAGGCAACCGCGCGGCCGCACUCCGCCGGAGUGGGCCAGCGUACGGUCGGCGCCGGCGGCCGCUGAGGACCAGUCGGAGGUCGGAGGUUAGCGGCGAGUAGGUCGGUCACCCACCCGACCCGUCUUGAAACACGGACCAAGGAGUCUAACAUGUGCGCGAGUCAAUGGGUCUCGAACAAGCCCAGAGGCGCAAUGAAAGUAAAGGUCGGCACCAGC
rnacentral:rRNA from 1 species